GAUGAACGCUGGCGGCGUGCCUAAUACAUGCAAGUCGAGCGAACGGACGAGAAGCUUGCUUCUCUGAUGUUAGCGGCGGACGGGUGAGUAACACGUGGAUAACCUACCUAUAAGACUGGGAUAACUUCGGGAAACCGGAGCGAAUACCGGGUAAUAUUUUGAACCGCAUGGUUCAAAAGUGAAAGACGGUCUUGCUGUCACUUAUAGAUGGAUCCGCGCUGCAUUAGCUAGUUGGUAAGGUAAUGGCUUACCAAGGCAACGAUGCAUAGCCGACCUGAGAGGGUGAUCGGCCACAAUGGAACUGAGACGCGGUCCAGACUCCUACGGGAGGCAGCAGUAGGGAAUCUUACGCAAUGGGCGAAAGCCUGACGGAGCAACGCCGCGUGAGUGAUGAAGGUCUUCGGAUCGUAAAACUCUGUUAUUAGGGAAGAACAUAUGUGUAAGUAACUGUGCACAUCUUGACGGUACCUAAUCAGAAAGCCACGGCUAACUACGUG
rnacentral:rRNA from 1 species